rnacentral:tRNA from 1 species
GUCCCCGUAGCUCAGCUGGAUAGAGCGACAGCCUCCUAAGCUGUAGGUCACAGGUUCGAAUCCUGUCGGGGACGCCA